rnacentral:rRNA from 1 species
CAGUCGCCGCGGUAAUACAGAGGAUGCAAGCGUUAUCCGGAAUGAUUGGGCGUAAAGCGUCUGUAGGUGGCUUUUCAAGUCCGCCGUCAAAUCCCAGGGCUCAACCCUGGACAGGCGGUGGAAACUACCAAGCUGGAGUACGGUAGGGGCAGAGGGAAUUUCCGGUGGAGCGGUCAAAUGCGUCGAGAUCGGAAAGAACAUCAACGGCGAAAGCACUCUGCUGGGCCGACACUGACACUGAGAGACGAAAGCUAGGGGAGCAAAUGGGAUUAGAUACCCGGGUAGUCCCUGUCUCUUAUAC